rnacentral:rRNA from 1 species
AAUAGAUACCCUGGUAGUCCACGCCGUAAACGAUGAGUGCUAAGUGUUAGAGGGUUUCCGCCCUUUAGUGCUGCAGCUAACGCAUUAAGCACUCCGCCUGGGGGAGUACGGCCGCAAGGCUGAAAACUCAAAGGAAUUGACGGGGGCCCGCACAAGCGGUGGAGCAUGUGGUUUAAUUCGAAGCAACGCGAAGAACCUUACCAGGUCUUGACAUCCUCUGCCAACCCUAGAGAUAGGGCGUUCCCCUUCGGGGGACAGAGUGACAGGUGGUGCAUGGUUGUCGUCAGCUCGUGUCGUGAGAUGUUGGGUUAAGUCCCGCAACGAGCGCAACCCUUGAUCUUAGUUGCCAGCAUUCAGUUGGGCACUCUAAGGUGACUGCCGGUGACAAACCGGAGGAAGGUGGGGAUGACGUCAAAUCAUCAUGCCCCUUAUGACCUGGGCUACACACGUGCUACAAUGGAUGGUACAAAGAGCUGCGAACCCGGCGAGGGUAAGCGAAUCUCAUAAAGCCAGUUCUCAGUUCGGAUUGUAAGG